UACGUAGGAGACGAGCGUUGUCCGGAGUUACUGGGCGUAAAGGGUGCGCAGGCGGCCUGGCGCGUCGCGAGUGAAAUCUCCUGGCUCAACUGGGAGGGUGGUCGCGAGACGGCUGGGCUUGAGGCUCGGUGAGGGCGUGGAAUUCCGGGUGGAGCGGUGAAAUGCGUAGAUAUCGGGAGGAACACCUGUGGCGAAAGCGGCUCACUGGACCGCAACUGACGCUGAGGCGCGAAAGCUAGGGGAGCAAACAGG
rnacentral:rRNA from 1 species